AACGAACGCUGGCGGCGUGGAUAAGACAUGCAAGUCGAACGCUGAUUUCAGGGUAGCAAUAUUCUGGAGUCGGAGUGGCGCAAGGGUGCGUAACACGUGGGUAAUUUGCCAUGAAGCCCGGAAUAACUCGCUGAAAGGCGAGCUAAUACCGGAUGUGAUCUUCGGGAGGCAUCUCCUGAACCUUAAAGCUGGGGACCGUAAGGCCUGGCACUUCUUGAUAAGCCCGCGGCCUAUCAGCUAGUUGGUGAGGUAACGGCUCACCAAGGCUAAGACGGGUAGCUGGUCUGAGAGGACGACCAGUCACACUGGAACUGAGACACGGUCCAGACACCUACGGGUGGCAGCAGUCGAGAAUUUUUCUCAAUGGGCGAAAGCCUGAAGGAGCGAC
rnacentral:rRNA from 1 species